ACUAAAGUACACAACUAUGUACUGGGGGGCUUUGGGCAGAAGAGGAAGAACAAAAAGAACCUCUUCCUCACAGAGGUAUGAUUUAAUGAGCAAAUUCCUUUGUCUGCUAAGAAAUCCCUUCAGCACUAAGAGGGCUCCCUGAGAAAUCACACUGUUUUACACUAUAAGUGAUUUUUUUCUCAUAAGAAUGAUUUCACAUAGCUCCUUUGAAAGUAAAGACAUUCAGAAUUGUCUAUCCCUGACUUAAGUGUGGAAGGAAUUAAGACAGAGGAUGUUUGUUCUUGUAUCAGGAAUAGGCGUGCCACUCCCCAAGCACUCAGAGCAUCUGCUGCCUGGACUGAUUCUUAAACCAAAAGCCACACAUGGCUUCUGUGCUUGACAGCUGAGGUGGCCUUUUAUGUCCAGUUGGAAUUUCAGUUUGGGUCGGCUGGAAUGGGUUCACAUACACAUCAGAAGAUGGACUCUGUGGGUCAGAGAAAGCUUCUGGGGCUGAGAGAGACUAGGCUGACAUUGUGGAAAUACUACAGGUUUAUUUCUUGGGAAUUUACCCCCCAAAAUAAGGUACUUUCAGUGCCUUCAUGUGGCAUCCUCAGGCUCUUUAAGCCAGUCCCUACUCUUUGGGGAUUUUUAUCUGCUCACUAAAUAUCAGCUAUUUUGUCCAGAUUAACAGAAUAUCUGCACAUUGCUACUCAACCAAGCCUUAGGCCAUGGUGGAGAGCAGUUCCUCUGGAGAGGCUGGCAAGCUCAUUCUCUCCAGUAGUCUCAAGAGGAAGUGAGAGCAACCCCCAGCCAGGAAACCAGCACUGGGUUAGCGGCUGAUCUAAUGGCUCAAGUUCUACAGGGCCGUGAUUUCCUUAUCUGUCGAUGAAGAUAUUGGCAACAUACUUCACAGGGUGCUUCGGAGAUUAAAUGAGGUUCGUUCUCACUUGCCUCCUGACAUUCUCAGCACCACUGACUUCGCUUUCAAUACUGCCUGGAGGGAAAAAAUAGACCAGUUUUUCUAAAGGGAAAGAUACUGCAGCGCCACUGGGGAGCUGGGAAACACGGAUUGCUUCAUGAAGGAGAGCUCAGAGAGGAUUCCGGGCCUGGCGCUACCUCCACGUGUCUGAAGCAAAUGCCUUGCCCCGCUGUGCUCAGUUUCCAUAUCUGUAAAAUGCCAUCAAUAAUUCUUGAAUCUUCAUCAUAUCAAAAAUAUGUUAUACUGGUAUUAUAUAAGAAUUAGAUAAUAAAAUGAUAGAGCUGGAAAUGAUCUUAGAGAUCAUCUAGUCCAAUAUCUUCAUUUGGAAGAUUAAAAAAUAGCCCAAAAGAGGGAGGUGACAUGCACAGUGUCAUGAAAUUAGUUCACAGACUUAAAACACCUGGCGCUGAAUAAUAGCUUGCUAAUUAGCUUUGUCACUCACCUGCCUUUCCCCAGUUUAUCCUAUGCUUGAUAAUAAACCAUAUUGGCCAGGAAAGCAACUAUCUUUCUCCAAGGAAGGAAUUCUCCUCACCCAAGGACUAU